UUGAAUCUCCCUGAGAACUACAUUAAGGGUACACGUGUCUGUGGAAUGCUCAGCCACUUGCAUGUUAAUUUCAAGAGCAGGGGGCUGUUCCGUUGAUUGGAUCAACUGGAAUCCUCGUCAUCGUAGCCGAUGGAGUGCCAGUAUACAUAUGUAUGCAAAUAUUC